UACAGAGGGGGCAAGCGUUAUUCGGAAUUAUUGGGCGUAAAGGGCGCGUAGGCGGCUAUGCAAGUGACGGGUGAAAUCCCUCGGCUUAACCGAGGAACUGCCUGUCAGACUGUGUGGCUUGAGUCCGGGAGAGGUGAGUGGAAUUCCCAGUGUAGCGGUGAAAUGCGUAGAUAUUGGGAGGAACACCAGUGGCGAAGGCGGCUCACUGGACCGGAACUGACGCUGAGGCGCGAAAGCGUGGGGAGCAAACAGG
rnacentral:rRNA from 1 species